rnacentral:rRNA from 1 species
UACAGAGGGGGCAAGCGUUGUUCGGAAUUACUGGGCGUAAAGCGCGUGUAGGCUGCGGAGUAAGUCGGAUGUGAAAUCCCUUGGCUUAACCAAGGAAGUGCAUCCGAUACUGUUUCGCUUGAGUGUCGGAGGGGAUGGCGGAAUUCCCGGUGUAGAGGUGAAAUUCGUAAAUAUCGGGAGGAACACCUGUGGCGAAGGCGGCCAUCUGGACGACAACUGACGCUGAGACGCGAAAGCGUGGGUAGCAAACAGG